AAAACGACAGGGGAACACAUAAUACGCGAUAACUGUUGAUGAAGCCUGCAUAUUGCUUUGGAGCUGAAGACGUGAACAUUUUGAAGAGAAAUAUUGAAUUGAAGAAAGAUUUCUACGAUGAAGACCUUUGUUAUUCUUAUUCUGGCAUUGACCGUUGCAUUUGGUAGCUGCUCAAAAAGGAUCAGAAAAGAUCAGACAGCUUGCGAUUGGCCUGAUUGCGAAUGUAUUUACAUAGACGAUCCUUGUCCCGGAACUCACUAUGAUUGCUCAGAAACAAGAUUCUGUGAUAUACCAGACGACAAACCAUGCUGCAAUUGAAGUGGGUUUUUGGGGUAGUUAAAAGUAUCGCUGAAGUAGAUGUAACGUUGCAUACGAAAUAAAUGUUUCGGUGAUAUAA